rnacentral:rRNA from 1 species
AUGGCUGUCGUCAGCUCGUGCCGGUGAGGUGUUGGGUUAAGUCCCCGCAACGAGCGCAACCCCUAUCUUUAGUUGCCAUCAGUUCGGCUGGGCACUCUAUGGAGACUGCCACCUAAAGUGGAGGAAGUGGGGAUGACGUCAAGUCAGCAUGGCCCUUACGUCCGGGGCUACACACGUGCUACAAUGGCCGGUACAAAGGGUUGCGAAGCCGUGAGGUGGAGCGAAUCUCAAAAAGCCGGCCUCAGUUCGGAUUGGAGGCUGCAACUCGCCUCCAUGAAGUCGGAAUCGCUAGUAACCGCAGAUCAGCUACGUUGCGGUGAAUACGUUCCCGGGCCUU